rnacentral:rRNA from 2 species
CUCAGGACGAACGCUGGCGGCGUGCCUAAUACAUGCAAGUCGAACGAACUCUGGUAUUGAUUGGUGCUUGCAUCAUGAUUUACAUUUGAGUGAGUGGCGAACUGGUGAGUAACACGUGGGAAACCUGCCCAGAAGCGGGGGAUAACACCUGGAAACAGAUGCUAAUACCGCAUAACAACUUGGACCGCAUGGUCCGAGCUUGAAAGAUGGCUUCGGCUAUCACUUUUGGAUGGUCCCGCGGCGUAUUAGCUAGAUGGUGGGGUAACGGCUCACCAUGGCAAUGAUACGUAGCCGACCUGAGAGGGUAAUCGGCCACAUUGGGACUGAGACACGGCCCAAACUCCUACGGGAGGCAGCAGUAGGGAAUCUUCCACAAUGGACGAAAGUCUGAUGGAGCAACGCCGCGUGAGUGAAGAAGGGUUUCGGCUCGUAAAACUCUGUUGUUAAAGAAGAACAUAUCUGAGAGUAACUGUUCAGGUAUUGACGGUAUUUAACCAGAAAGCCACGGCUAACUACGUGCCAGCAGCCGCGGUAAUACGUAGGUGGCAAGCGUUGUCCGGAUUUAUUGGGCGUAAAGCGAGCGCAGGCGGUUUUUUAAGUCUGAUGUGAAAGCCUUCGGCUCAACCGAAGAAGUGCAUCGGAAACUGGGAAACUUGAGUGCAGAAGAGGACAGUGGAACUCCAUGUGUAGCGGUGAAAUGCGUAGAUAUAUGGAAGAACACCAGUGGCGAAGGCGGCUGUCUGGUCUGUAACUGACGCUGAGGCUCGAAAGUAUGGGUAGCAAACAGGAUUAGAUACCCUGGUAGUCCAUACCGUAAACGAUGAAUGCUAAGUGUUGGAGGGUUUCCGCCCUUCAGUGCUGCAGCUAACGCAUUAAGCAUUCCGCCUGGGGAGUACGGCCGCAAGGCUGAAACUCAAAGGAAUUGACGGGGGCCCGCACAAGCGGUGGAGCAUGUGGUUUAAUUCGAAGCUACGCGAAGAACCUUACCAGGUCUUGACAUACUAUGCAAAUCUAAGAGAUUAGACGUUCCCUUCGGGGACAUGGAUACAGGUGGUGCAUGGUUGUCGUCAGCUCGUGUCGUGAGAUGUUGGGUUAAGUCCCGCAACGAGCGCAACCCUUAUUAUCAGUUGCCAGCAUUAAGUUGGGCACUCUGGUGAGACUGCCGGUGACAAACCGGAGGAAGGUGGGGAUGACGUCAAAUCAUCAUGCCCCUUAUGACCUGGGCUACACACGUGCUACAAUGGAUGGUACAACGAGUUGCGAACUCGCGAGAGUAAGCUAAUCUCUUAAAGCCAUUCUCAGUUCGGAUUGUAGGCUGCAACUCGCCUACAUGAAGUCGGAAUCGCUAGUAAUCGCGGAUCAGCAUGCCGCGGUGAAUACGUUCCCGGGCCUUGUACACACCGCCCGUCACACCAUGAGAGUUUGUAACACCCAAAGUCGGUGGGGUAACCUUUUAGGAACCAGCCGCCUAAGGUGGGAC